GCCGGGGUCGCUCAACCAGGAAGAGCGACGGUUUGUCAAGCCGUAACCCGCAAGGGUAUCUGGGUUCAAAUCCCAGCCCCGGCG
rnacentral:tRNA from 1 species